UCCUGGCUCAGGACGAACGCUGGCGGCGUGCCUAAUACAUGCAAGUCGAGCGGACAGAUGGGAGCUUGCUCCCUGAUGUUAGCGGCGGACGGGUGAGUAACACGUGGGUAACCUGCCUGUAAGACUGGGAUAACUCCGGGAAACCGGGGCUAAUACCGGAUGGUUGUUUGAACCGCAUGGUUCAAACAUAAAAGGUGGCUUCGGCUACCACUUACAGAUGGACCCGCGGCGCAUUAGCUAGUUGGUGAGGUAACGGCUCACCAAGGCAACGAUGCGUAGCCGACCUGAGAGGGUGAUCGGCCACACUGGGACUGAGACACGGCCCAGACUCCUACGGGAGGCAGCAGUAGGGAAUCUUCCGCAAUGGACGAAAGUCUGACGGAGCAACGCCGCGUGAGUGAUGAAGGUUUUCGGAUCGUAAAGCUCUGUUGUUAGGGAAGAACAAGUACCGUUCGAAUAGGGCGGUACCUUGACGGUACCUAACCAGAAAGCCACGGCUAACUACGUGCCA
rnacentral:rRNA from 1 species